CUUCCUCCUUGUGCCCUGAGGGCCAGCCAGGCACCCAGGCCCUGUGCCCAUCUUGCCUCGCCUGGAUCCUGCUCCCACUUCCUCCUGAGCCCUCCAGGACGCCUGCUGCUCGCUGUCCCAUUCGCUGGCUCCCAGGAUGUUCUGUGAGCUCUCUUAGAGUCCCCAUGACAGCCACCACCAAUGCCUAGCUAUUUCCCGCCCAGCUUGUGAACCCCGGGCAGCACCAGCCACUGACUUUUGGUUUCCUGUAGCCUCAGACUGGCACAGAGUAGCAUUUUCAUAACUGCAAGCUGCAGGACUGCCCGAUGCGUGGAUGCAGGAUGCUGACCAGGUGUCCAGAGAGGAUAUGCAAAGUCACUGUUCCGACCGCAAAGAAAGGCCGAUGGGGGAAGGAAAGGUCAGAGUACAGCGGCUUUGGCUGGGGAAGUCUCCCUGAGAGGUGAGUCCGAGUCCAGCUUUUGCUGAGGUGACUCCCAGGAAUAGGUGGUGAGCACUGGAGGAGGAGGGAAUAACAGGGGAAAAGGCGCUGAAAGAAGGAGG